rnacentral:rRNA from 1 species
AUUGAACGCUGGCGGCAGGCCUAAUACAUGCAAGUCGAGCGGAGCGGCGGACGGGCGAGUAAUGCCUAGGAAUCUGCCUGGUAGUGGGGGAUAACGUCCGGACACGGGCGCUAAUAUCGCAUACUAUCUGCUGUGCCUAGGUCGGAUUAGCUAGUUGGUGUGGGAAAGGCCUACCAUGGCGACGAACCGUAACUGGACUGAGAGGAGGAUCAGUCACACUGGAACUGAGACACGGUCCAGACUCCGACGGGAGGCAGCAGUGGGGAAUAUUGGGAAAGGGGCGAAAGCCUGAUCCAGCCAUGCCGCGUGUGUGACGAAGGUCUUCGGAUUGUAAAGCCCUUUAAGUUGGGAAGCGUUACCAACAGAAUAAGCACCGGCUAACUUCGUGCCAGCAGCCGCGGUAAUAC